AUUGAACGCUGGCGGCAGGCCUAACACACGCAAGUCGAGCGGAUGACGGGAGCUUGCUCCUUGAUUCAGCGGCGGACGGGUGAGUAAUGCCUAGGAAUCUGCCUGGUAGUGGGGGACAACGUUUCGAAAGGAACGCUAAUACCGCAUACGUCCUACGGGAGAAAGCAGGGGACCUUCGGGCCUUGCGCUAUCAGAUGAGCCUAGGUCGGAUUAACUAGUUGGUGGGGUAAUGGCUCACCAAGGCGACGAUCCGUAGCUGGUCUGAGAGGAUGAUCAGUCACACUGGAACUGAGACACGGUCCAGACUCCUACGGGAGGCAGCAGUGGGGAAUAUUGGACAAUGGGCGAAAGCCUGAUCCAGCCAUGCCGCGUGUGUGAAGAAGGUCUUCGGAUUGUAAAGCACUUUAAGUUGGGAGGAAGGGCAGUAAGCUAAUACCUUGCUGUUUUGACGUUACCGACAGAAUAAGCACCGGCUAACUCUGUGCCAGCAGCAGCCGCAGUA
rnacentral:rRNA from 1 species